rnacentral:sRNA from 1 species
CCCCCCAAGCCUCUUCGGUGCUUUGUCGCCGUGGCUCAAACCGGGGGGU